AGUGAACGCUGGCGGUAGGCCUAACACAUGCAAGUCGAACGGCAGCACAGUAAGAGCUUGCUCUUACGGGUGGCGAGUGGCGGACGGGUGAGGAAUACAUCGGAAUCUACUUUUUCGUGGGGGAUAACGUAGGGAAACUUACGCUAAUACCGCAUACGACCUACGGGUGAAAGCAGGGGAUCUUCGGACCUUGCGCGAUUGAAUGAGCCGAUGUCGGAUUAGCUAGUUGGCGGGGUAAAGGCCCACCAAGGCGACGAUCCGUAGCUGGUCUGAGAGGAUGAUCAGCCACACUGGAACUGAGACACGGUCCAGACUCCUACGGGAGGCGGCAGUGGGGAAUCUUGGACAAUGGGCGCAAGCCUGAUCCAGCAAUACCGCGUGGGUGAAGAAGGCCUUCGGGUUGUAAAGCCCUUUUGUUGGGAAAGAAAAGCAGCAGGUUAAUCCCCCGCUGUUCUGACGGUACCCAAAGAAUAAGCACCGGCUAACUUCGUG
rnacentral:rRNA from 1 species